UUGUUCACUCUGGCAGCACAUGUGCUAAAUUAGAAUAAUAUAGAGAUUAGCAUGGCCCCUGCACAAAGAUGACAUGCAGAUUCAGAGUGUUCCAUAUUUUA
rnacentral:snRNA from 1 species